GGAGAGCAGACGCAGCAUUCAAGGAGUGCAGGAGUGUUGGAUCGUUGCUGGAAGAAAGCUUGAGGGCGAUGCCAGACUGCGUCUUAGAUUCUCCCAUAUGUGGGACCCCAGAGAGUGGAGAAGAAGAUGUUGUCUUUGCAAAUGUGCAGAAUGUAUUGCCCCCGCGCUACGAAGCUGGAGAACAAGUCAUCUUAUGUGCUUAAUUUAGAUGUUGUGUAAUCUGGUCUCGUCUGUAGUGUUGGUGAUAUCUUAUGUGCUAAAUUGAAUCUGUAUCUACGUAUAUUAUUAUAAUCACCGACUGAGCUGGUUGUGUUGUGUUUAAAUCAUAUGUAUAAAUCAUAUGGGCUUUUCUAUUCUUA